rnacentral:tRNA from 1 species
AUUUAAGUAGUUUAUAUGUAAAAUUUAGGUUUGUGGUUUCUAAGAAGUAGGUUAUAUUUUGCCUUAAAUU